UACAUUGCUUAGUCUCUUUAAUUUGGCACAACAUGGAUAUUGCAUUUCCUAGUCUAACAGCAACACAGGGUAUGAACAUCCAAAUGUCACAUGAUUGCUGGUGAGGAUGUGGAAAUUGGCUGGAGUGCCAAAUAGUAUAGGCACUUUGGAAAACAGUCUAGCAAAAGUGUAACCACAUAAUCCAGUAGUUCCACUUGAGUGUGUAUAGGAAAGAACUGAAGACUUAUGUUCACCAAAACUUGUACAGGAGUGUUUGUAGCAGGAUUACUCAAAUUACCAAAAAUGGAAAUAACCAAAAUGUCCAUGAACUGAUGAAUGGAUAAAUGCAGCAUACUCAAAACAUGAGAUAUUAUUCAGCAAUAAAAAUGACUUAAGUACUGACAUAUGCUUGGAUGAGCCUCGAAAACAUGCUAAAUCAAAGUCAGUUUCAAAGGAUCAUACAUGAUGAUUCCAUUUAUAGGAAAUACCGAGACGAGGCAAAUUUAGAGACAGAAAGUAGGUUAAUAGUUGGUUAGGGCUAUAGGGGGAUGGGAUGGGAGAGAUUGGAGGAUGAUGCCUAAGGUGGAUGGGAUAUUUUUGCGGUAAUGAAAUGUUAUAAAAUUGAUGGUGGUGAUGGAUGCCCAAAUCUGUAAUAUACUAAAAACCAAUUAAAAUGGGUAAAUUGUCUGACAUGCCAAUUAUAUCUCAAGAAAGCUUUUUUUUUUUUUUGGUCUUUUUAGGGCCACAUUAACAGCAUAUGGAAGAACUCUCAAACUUGGUUAUUUAUUUAUUUGUCUUUUUAGGGCUACACCUGUGGCACAUGGAGGUUCCCAGGUGAGGGGUAGAAUUGGAGCUACAGUUGCUGGCCUACACCACAGCCACAGCAACACGGGAUCCGAUCCUACACCUGCAAACUACUACCCCACAGCUCAUGGCAAGACCGGAUCCUUAACCCACUGAGCGAGGCCAGUGACCGAACCAGUGUCCUCAUGGAUGCUAGUCAGAUUUGUUUGUGCUGAGCCAUGAUGGGAACUCCAAACUUGGCCAUUUUUAAUUCAAAUGUCAAAGUUACUUAGAGCUAUUCUAUAUAUUAACUUUAACUGCAAAAUAUUUCCAACACUGACAUAAAUAUAAUUCUCUCUACCAAUUCAGUUAAUUUAGUUAUCAAUUACAAAUUGUCUCGAGGUAUUCACUGUAAAGAAAUACUAUUUAGUGUCCAUGAUGAUGUGUGUUCGAUUCCUGGCCUUGCUCAGUGAGUUAAAGGAUCUGUUUCUGUGAGUUUCGGUGUAGGUCACAGAUGCUGCUCGGAUCUGGCAUUGCUGUAGCUGUGUCGUAGACCAGCAGCUAUAGCUCCAAUUCAAUCCCUAGCUGGGGAACAUCCAUAUGCUGUAGGUGCAGCCCUAAAAAGAAAAAUCAAAACAAAACAACUCCAAACACCAUAUAGGAAAAUUUUCUUAUCAUUCUUUGCUUCAACAGGCAUGUCAAUAUAGACCUUGGUACACUUACAACUUUCCUGAAGAGAAAAGGUGUGACCAUAUGCUUCUCCGUUGCUAAAAUGGUCAGCCAGAAGUAGCAGGGGCAUAAAACUUGGAUUGUAGAAGACUUAAGAGGAAGAGAACAUAGCUUGUCCUUGGCCAGUUGUCUCAAGAAAAUUUAGUUCAGGAAGUCAAGAAUUCACAGCCGACAGUUCAACAUAUGCAAAUCAAUCAAAAUCAUACACCACAUUAACAAAAGUCAAAACCACAUGAUCAUUUCAAUAGAUACAGAAAAAGCAUUUGACAAAGUCCAACAUCCACUCAUGAUAAAAACUCUUACCAAAGUGGGUACAGAGGGAACAUACCUUAACAUAAUCAAAGCUAUUUAUUACAAACCCACAGCAAAUAUAAUACUCAAUGGAGAAAAGCUGAAAGCCUUCCCACUAAAAUCUGGAACAAGACAAGGAUGCCCACUCUCACUACUGUUAUUCAACAUAGUAUUGGAAGUCCUAGCCACAGCAAUCAGACAAACGAAAGAAAUAAAAAGGUAUCCAAACUGGAAGAGAAGAGGUAAAAUCGUCACUGUAUGUGGAUGACACGAUACUAUAUAUACAAAACCUUAAGAACUCAACCUAAAAACUACUCCAACUGGAGUUCCCAUCGUGGCGCAGUGGUUGACGAAUCCGACUAGGAACCAUGAGGUUGCGGGUUUGGUCCCUGCCCUUGCUCAGUGGGUUAAAGAUCCGGCGUGAGCUGUGGUGUAGGUUGCAGACGCAGCUCGGAUCCCGCGUUGCUGUGGCUCUGGCGUAGGCCAGUGGCUACAGCUCCGAUUAGACCCCUAGCCUGGGAACCUCCAUAUGCCGUGGGAGCGGCCCAAAGAAAUAGCAAAGACAAAAAAAAAAAAAAACUACUCCAGCUGAUCAACAAAUUCAGCAAAGUAGCAGGAUAUAAGAUUAAUAUUCAGAAAUUAGUCACAUUUCUAUAUACUAACAAUGAAAUAUUAGAAAAGGAAUACAAAAAUAAAUACCUUUUUAAAUUGUACCCCCCAAAACCAAAUACCUGGGAAUAAACCUGACCAAGAAGGUGAAAGACAUAUAUGCUUAGAACUAUAAAACAUUCAUCAAGGAAAUUAAAGAGGAUUCAAAGAAAUGGAAGGAUAUUCCAUGCUCCUGGGUUGGAAAAAUUAAUAUUGUAAAAAUGGCCAUACUGUACAAAGCAAUCUACAGAUUUAAUGCAUUCCCUAUCAAAUUACCCAUGACAUUUUUCACAGAACUAGAAAAAAAAUCCAAACAUUUAUAUGGAACCACUAAAGACACAGAAUUGCCAAAGCAAUCCUGAGGAACAAAAACCAAGCAGGAGGCGUAACUCUCUCAGGCUUCGGGCAAUAUUACAAAGCCACAGUAAUCAAGACAAUGUGGUACUGGUACCAAAACACACAUACAGACCAAUGCAACAGAAUAGAGAAUCCAGAAACAAACCCAGACACCUACCAUCAAUUAAUCUUCAACAAAGGAGGCAAGAACAUAAAAUGGGAAAAAGACAGUCUUUUCAGCAACUGGUGCUGGGAAAAUUGGACAGCUGCAUGCAAAUCAAUGAAACUGGAACACACCCUCAGACCAUGCACAAAAAUGAACUCAAAAUAGCUUAAAGACUUAAACAUAAGACAAGACACCAUCAAACUCCUAGAAGAGAACAUAGGCAAAACAUUCUCUGACACCAGCCUUACAAAGUUUUCUCAGGUAGUUUCCCAAGGCAACAGAAAUAAAAGCAAAAAUAAACCAAUGGGACCUAAUCAACUGACAAGCUUUCGCACAGCAAAGGAAACCACUAAAAAAAAAAAAAAAGACAAAUUACAGAAUGGGAGAAAAUAGUUUCAAAUGAUAUAACUGAUAAGGGCUUAAUCUAUCAAAUAUACAAACAACUUACAGAACUCAACAGCAAAAAAGCAAACACCACAAUAGAAAAAUUGGCAAAAGACCUGAAUAUGACCUGAAUAGACAUUUCUCCAAAGAAGAUAUACAGAUGGCCAACAAGCACAUGAAAAAAUGCUCAACAUCAGUGAUUAUAUUAAGACAAAUGCAGGAGUUCCCGUCGUGGCUCAGUGGUUAAUGAAUCCAACUAGGAACCAUGAGGUUGCGGGUUUGAUCCCUGGCCUUGCUCAGAGGGUUAAGGAUCCGGCAUUGCCGUGAGCUGUGGUGUAGGUCACAGACUCGGCUCGGAUCCCGCUUUGCUGUAGCUCUGGUAUAGGCCAGCAAUUAUAGCUCCAAUUAGACCCCUAGCCUGGGAACCUCCAUAUGCCGUGGGAGCGACCCGAGAAAAGGCAAAAAGCCAAAAAAAAAAAAAAAAUGCAAAUCAAAACUCCUAUGAGAUACCACCUCACACCAGUCAGAAUGGCCAUCAUUAAUAAGUCCACAAAUAACAAAUGCUGGAGGAGGUGUGGAGAAAAGGGAACUCUCCUUCGCUGUUGGUGGGAAGGUAACUGGAACAACCACUAUGGAAAACAGUUUGGAGGUACCUUAGAAAACUAUACAUAAAACUACCAUAUGACCCAGCAAUCCCACUCUUGGGCAUAUAUCCAGACAAAACUUUCCUUGAAAAAGACACAUGCACCUGCAUGUUCAUUGCAGCACUAUUCACAGUAGCCAAGACAUGGAAACAACCUAAAUGUCCAUCAACAGAUGAAUGGAUUAAGAAGAUGUGGUAUAUAUACACAAUGGAAUACUACUCACCCAUAAAUAAGAACAAAAUAAUGCCAUUUGCAGCAACAUGGAUGGAACUACAGACACUCUCAUCCCAAGUGAAGUAAGUCAGAAAGAGAAAGACAAAUACCAUGUGAUACCACUUAUAUCUGGAAUCUAAGAUAUGGCACAGAAGAACCUUUCCAGAGAAAAGAAACUCAUGGACAUGGAGAACACACUUGUGGUUGCCAGGAGGGAGGGGGAGGGACUGGGAAUUUGGGGUUAACAGAUGCAAACUAUUGCCUUUGGAAUGGAUAAGCAAUGGGAUCCUGUUGUAUAGCACUGGGAACUAUAUCUGGUUACUUGUGAUGGAGCAUGGUAAUGUGAGAAAAAAGAAUGUAUACAUGUAUGUAUGACUGGGUCACCUUGCUGUGCAGUAGAAAAUUGACAGAACACUGUAAAUCAGCUAUAAUGGAAAAAAUAAAAGUCAUUAUAAAAAUUUUUUUAAAUAAAAAUAAUGAUAAAGAACCAAGGAAGAUUAAACCUGCAAAUUUAGAAGAUAAAAUGGAUUACUCUGAAAAAUAUUUUUACAGAUGGCCAGAAAGGCCUUGUGAACCACUUAAAGCAGAGGGUUUUGUUGGUUUCCAUUCCCCUCACUCUAACUCCCAGGACCUACACCAAACCACCCCAAAUCUACCUCCAGUUCUGCAGCUUCACCCUAUCAGGAUCAUGUCAAAAGAGGCUUAACUUGAUCUGGUGUUGCUGUGAGAUGUGGCUCAGAUCCCAAGUUGCUGUGGCUGUGGUUCAGCAGCUGCAGCUCCUAUUCAACCCCUAGCCUGGGAACUUCCAUAUGCCCUGGGUUCAGCCCUAAAAAGACAAAAAAAAAAAAAAAAAAAAAAAAAAAAAA
rnacentral:lncRNA from 9 species